rnacentral:rRNA from 1 species
AACGAACGCUGGCAGCAUGCCUAACACAUGCAAGUCGAACGAGACCUUCGGGUCUAGUGGCGCACGGGUGCGUAACGCGUGGGAACCUGCCCUUAGGUUCGGAAUAACUCCCCGAAAGGGGUGCUAAUACCGGAUAAUGUCUUCGGACCAAAGAUUUAUCGCCUUUGGAUGGGCCCGCGUUGGAUUAGCUAGUUGGUAGGGUAAAAGCCUACCAAGGCGACGAUCCAUAGCUGGUCUGAGAGGAUGAUCAGCCACACUGGGACUGAGACACGGCCCAGACUCCUACGGGAGGCAGCAGUGGGGAAUAUUGGACAAUGGGCGAAAGCCUGAUCCAGCAAUGCCGCGUGAGUGAUGCAGGCCUUAGGGUUGUAAAGCUCUUUUACCCGGGAUGAUAAUGAUAGUACCGGGAGAAUAAGCUCCGGCUAACUCCGUG